UGAUAGCUAUUAUUAUAUGAGAACUCUGCUAGAGGAUGUUAAGCUAAGCUUCAAAUCAGUUUACUGCCAAGAGAAGCUUGCAAACGAUGCGAUCGAGGUAAAUCUCGGCAUAUUUCUUGGCAGUGAAGGUAGUGUGUACCGGAAUAAAAUGUGUUGUUUUCAUGAGUCUAUCCACGAUAACCCAUAUGGAAUCGUGCCUUUGGGAGGGCAAUCCAACAAUGAAAUCCAUACUUAUAUCUUCUCAUUUCCAUGAUGGUAUAGGCAAGGUUUGAAGUGUACCGGCUACCUUGAAGUGGCUAGCUUUAACCCUCUGACAUGUGUCACAUUCCGAGACAUACUUGGCAAUUUCCCUUUUCAUUCUAGUCCACCAAAAGUUUUGCUUAAGAUCUUGAUACAUUUUGCUACUACGCGGGUGAAUAGAGAACUUGGAAAGAUGUGCCUUGUCAAGAAUUUGUUUUCGGAGCUCAUGAUUCUUUGGAACCACUAUGCGAGAUUCAAACCAUAGCACUCCAUUCUUGUCUUGGCAAAAACAUUUAUAUUUCUUCUCUCCUUGAGAUAGUUUUUGGUUGAUGAUUAACACCUUCAUCAUGUAAUUGUGCCAUGAUGAUUCGAUCGUGGAGGGUUGGUUCAAUGGAAAUGUGGUUUAGAGUGCCUUGGGGAAUCAUUUCCAAAUUGAGUUGCUUUAUAGAAUUCUGCGGACAAGCAACUGCAAUGAGCCUUGAGGCUUAGUGCAUCUAUGACUAUAUUAACCUUUCCUGGGUGAUAGUUACCUCAAGAUCAUAAUCUUUGAUCAAUUCGAACCAUCUUCUUUGUCUCAUAUUCAGAUCGGCUUGGGUGAAGAUAUAUGUGAGACCUUUAUGAUUGGUGUAGAUAUUGCAAUGAGUGCCCAUAAUAUAGUGUCUCCAUAUCUUUAGAGCAUGAAUAACAGCUGCUAGCUCGAGAUCAUAUGUUGGAUAAUUUUGCUCAUGAGGUCGAAGAGCUUGUGAAGCGUAGGCAAUGACUCGGUUAUCAUACAUACGCACACAACCAAGACCAGUGCCGGAUGCAUCACAAUAAACAUUGAAUGGCUUGGUGUUAUCAGGUUGAGCUAAGACUGGGGCUAUAGUCAGGUGUUCCCGAAGAGUGUGGAAAGCUUUUUCACAUUUCUUGCUCCACACAAUCUUUACUCCUUUCUUCAAGAGUUCAGUCAUAGGCUUAGCAAUUCUGGAGAAGUUCAGAAUAAAGUGGCGAUAAUAACCAACUAAACCAAGAAAACUGUGAAUCUGGUGGAUGGAGGUGGGAGGUUUCCAAUCCAUCACCUCUUGUACUUUGCUAGGAUUAACGGCUAUGCCUUUGCUGGAAAUAGUGGGGCCCAAAAAUUUUACAUUAUCCAACCAGAAUUCACACUUGGAAAACAUAGCAUAGAGUUGAUGGUCUCUAAGACGCUGGAGAACAAUGUGAAGGUGCUUAGCAUGAUCUUCCUCAUUCUUGGAAUGAAUAAGGAUGUCAUCAAUAAAAACCACAACGAACUUGUCAAGUUUGGGCAUGAAUACCGAAUUCAUGAGAUAGAUGAAGUAGGCAGGAGCAUUUGUGAGCCCGAAAGACAUGACCAGAUACUCAUAUAGCCCGUAUCGUGUGGAAAAGACAGACUUAGGGAUAUCACAUGGAUGAAUCUUGAUCUAAUGAUAGCCAGGGCGAAGAUCAAUUUUUGAGAAGACUCUACCUCCCACUAAUUGAUCGAAGAGAACAUCAAUGCGGGGAAGUGGAUAUUUAUUUUUGAUUGUCACUGUAUUGAGAGGUUGGUAGUCCACACACAGCCGCAAACUAUCAUCCUUCUUCUUCACAAAUAAGGCUAGGAAACUCCAAGGUGAUGCACUAGGAUGAAUGAAACCUUUAUCUAAAAGUUCCUGCAGUUGUAGUUUCAAUUUGGCCAACUCCUUGUGUGGCAUUCUAUAGGGUCAUUUAGGGAUAGGUGCAGUGCGUGGCUGUAGUUCGAUAAUGAACUCAAUGUCCCUAUCUGGUGGCAUUCCUGGCAAGUCAUCUGCAAAACAUCGGCAUACUCGCACACCAUUGGAAUAUCUUCUCGUUUGACUCCUUGCAUCAUGAAAGCAUAGGAAUUUAUGCAUUCCCGAGAAGGUAGAUGGCUCCGUGACUGGUCGAGUUUAUUUUCACGGCUCGGGAAGAAAUAUCUAAUGUAACCCUGUGUAGAGCCAUCCAAUUCAUCCCCAAAAUAAUGUGCAUGACUUCAAGUGCCAAAAUGAUAAGGUCGGUUUUGAUAGGUUUUACUACCCAACUUGAUCGAUACGUUCCUUAUGAUUUGGUUGGAAGCAAUUUGACCACCCGGUGUUGAUAUCAUGUAUGACCCUUUUGUGUGACAAAAAUCCAAGCCAACUUUUGCACCAAAUUUUACGCUAAUAAAACUAUGGGAUGCACCAGAAUCAAAUAAUAUAAUUGCUGGCUUGUUGUGGAUAAAGAAUGUACCCGUCAUCACUGGUGCACCUUCUAGAAGAUCAGCAAGUGUAGUGAAAUUGAUCCUUCCCUGCUGAACACGAACAGUCUGUCUUUUGCCCUUGUUCUUAUUGUUUUGAUUAGAAACUUGCCCUUGAUUUGGCUGCCUAGGCUGGGGGCAUUCUCAUGCAAAGUGGCUAGAACACCCAUAAUUAAAGCAACGAUUUGUGUUGCUCGGACAAGCAAGCUGCUGAGCAAUCGUCCUUGGGCCAGUCUGCUGAGGCACAUGGGUUCGUGCAAUGCCCUGCUGCUGUGGGGGCCUAAAAACCCAACGCCCUUGUUGAGGGGCCUUCUAAGGAGCUUUGAAAGUAGCAUUCUACACUAAACGAUACCUCUGUGGCAGAGCACUAGAGGGUCCAGCUGGUGCCUUCCUCUUCUUCUCAGCACAGUGAGCCAAAAUACAGUCUUCCUGAGUGAGAAUAAGCGGUCCUUGAGCUUGGUACUAAGGCCUUUGCGGAAACAAUCACACUUCUUAGCAUCAGAGUCAGUGUGAUAGCCCACGUACUGACAAAGGUUAUUGAAAGCCUGGGCAUACUGGAGUACGGUGUGGGUACCCUGAGUAAGAGCCAGAAAUUCAUUCAGCAUCCUCUCCAGAAGCCCUUCUAGAAUAUGGUGGGCUCUAAAUGCAUUCUUGAAUUCCUCCCAAGUAACAACAUGAUCGGCUGGGAGCAUGGCGAAAUAGUUGUCCCACCAAAGGCACGCGGUACCGUGAAGUUGUUGCGCGGCAAAACGGGCCUUAUUUGCAUCGAAACAUGGCACCACAAGUAGUCCAAGCGUCCACAUCCAAGGGCUCCUCCAUCUUAUGAAACAAAGGGGGCUGAGUGCCCAAGAAGUCCAGGUAGCUACCAGCCUGAGGUUGGUGGACAUUGUGCCCACACUGCUACUACUGGAAUUGCUGAAACGCUUG